ensembl:snoRNA
GGGGUGUUCUCAGAGCAGGGGGCCUGAAGAAGUGGUUCCUCUGUUUAUAACACACCCAACAGGAACCUGGGUUCAUUAUGACAAGAGGCGCAAAACUUGGGGCCCUCCUGUGAACAAAUAGCCUACACGU